rnacentral:misc_RNA from 1 species
CCAAUAGCGUAUAUUAAAGUUGUUGCAGUUAAAAAGCUCGUAGUUGAAUUUCGGGAUCAAUAUAUCGGUCGUGCCAUCGGUACGUACUGGUAUCAUUGGUUUCUCCUUUCUGACGAACCAUGAUGUCAUUAAUUUGGUGUUAUGGGAAGUUAGGACUGUUACUUUGAAAAAAUUAGUGUGUUUAAAGCAGGCUUUAGCUUGAAUACAUUAGCAUGGAAUAAUAGAAUAGGACGGCAUGGUUCUAUUUUGUUGGUUUCUAGGAUCACCGUAAUGAUUAAUAGGGAUAGUUGGGGGCAUUAGUAUUCAAUUGUCAGAGGUGAAAUUCUUGGAUUUAUUGAAGACUAACUACUGCGAAAGCAUUUGCCAAGGAUGUUUUCAUUAAUCAAGAACGAAAGUUAGGGGAUCGAAGACGAUCAGAUACCGUCGUAGUCUUAACCAUAAACUAUGCCGACUAGGAAUCAGACGAUGUUAAUUUUUUAAUGACUCGUUUGGCACCUUACG